rnacentral:lncRNA from 10 species
GCUUCCAUUCUCUCCCAUACUCAAGCCCUAGUACACGGCUUAUUCAGAGUUGCCAGCCAGGGCAGGGCACUGGGGAACGGGGAAGCCACUCCAGGGGCAGAAGAAUUUGGGGGCUCUAGCUCAAAGCUGGGAGAUAAGCAGCUAGAGGACAGGCCUGGGGAGUGCUGUGGCAGUGUGUUCCAAAUACAUACCCAAAAUGUGCAAAGCAGCCUGUCAUUGUGAAGGCCAAAUUCUUCAGCAGAAGAGCUGAGAAGAUUAAGGGUGUCAAGGGGACCUGUGUCCUGGUGGCUUGAGGCCACAUGGAGGGAGGUUCAUUAAAUGCUAACUACUUAAAAAAAACAAAUAGGCCAGGUGCAGUGGCUCACGCCUGUAAUCCCAGCACUUUGGGAGGCCGAGGUGGGUGGAUCACCUGGUUGGGAGUUCAAGACCAACCUGACCAACAUGGUGAAACCCCGUCUCUACUAAAAAUACAAAAAGCCAGGUGUGAUGGCGCAUGCCUGUAAUCCCAGCUACUCGGGAGGCUGAGGCAGGAGAAUCGCUUGGACCCGGGAGGUGGAGGUUGUGGUGAGCCGAGAUCGCGCCAUUGCACUCCAGCCUGGGCAACAAGAGUGAAAACUCCGUCUCAAAAAAUAAAUAUAAAUUUUUAAAAUUAUAUAUAUAUAUUUUUGGGCUGUGGGGAGCUGGGCAUAGUGGCUCAUGCCUGUAAUCCCAGCACUUUGGGAGGCCAAGGCGGGAGGAUUGCUUGAGCCCAAAAGUUUGAGACCAGCCUGGGCAACAUAGCAAGACCCCAUCUCUAUUUAUUUUUAUUUGAGAUGAAAUUGCAGACAUCAUAGCACUUUACCCCAAAACAAAUAAAUAUCUAUAGAAAUAAAUAUUGCCCAGGCUGGUCUUAAACUCCUAGCCUAAAGCGAUCCUCCCACUUUGGCCUCCCAAAAUGCUGGGAUUACAGGCAUGAGUCACUACACCUGGCCUUAAAAUGGCAGUUUUAAGCCACUGAUUUGGAGUAAUUUGUUAUACAGCAAUAGGUAACUAGAAUAAACACCUGUAAUCUUACAAGGAACUUUUUGGUUCUAUCUGAAUCUAAUCCAACUUCCACUUUCACUUUUCAAAGGGAUAACUGAGGCCUAGUUGCGGAAGAGACUGGCAAUCUGCCUACUAACCAGGAGUUUCUCCCACCACGCUCUCCUGACCAAGAAGGUGCCUUGGAGGAAGCAAGGCCUGUUCUGCCACAGGGUCAGUAGGCUUUUCGCCUUCAUCCAUGGAUGGCUUGUGGCAAGGAUAUAUUUUUUCUCCCAUUUAUGUGAAAACUUUGAAACUAAUUGUGUGUUCUGUGAAUGCUUAGCUCUCUUGAAUUGGGGUAAUGGUUAUUGUUUAUAGAGCAUAAGCCAAGUUUUAUAUUCUACAAUGCAAACAGGUACCUGUUUCUAAAUAAAACUGUUUACAUUAAAAAAAGAAAAAACAAAACUUUGAGGGCCGGGCGUGGUUGCUCAUGCCUGUAAUCCCACCACUUUGGGAGGCCAAGGUGGGCAGAUCACUUGAGGCCAGGAGUUCAAGACCAGCCUGGCCAACAUGACGAAACCCCGUCUCUACUAAAAAUGCAAAAAUUAUCCGGGUGUGGUGGUGUGCGCCUGUAAUCCCAGCUACUCAAGAGGCUGAGGCAGGAGAAUCCCUUGAACCCGAGAGACAGAGGUUGCAGUGAGCCAAGAUUGCAUCACUGUACUCCAGCCUGGGCAACAGAGCAAAACUCCGUCUCAAAAAAAAUAAAAAACCCACUUUGAAACAGAAAAGUGUGAAGAAUACUAUAUUAAACACCAGUGUGCCCAUCAGACUUUAAAAAAUUGUUAAUAUAUUGCCAUAUAUGCUUUCCGUAUGUAUAAUCAUUUUUAUUUUUAUUUUUUUUACAUGUAGACCUUAAAAUCCCAAUGUAUAGGCCAGGCGCAGUGGCUCACGCCUGUAAUCCCAGCACUUUGGGAGGCCAAGGCGGGCAGAUCACUUGAGGUCAGGAGUUCAAGACCAGCCUGGCCAACAUGGCAAAACCCUGUCUCUACUAAAAAUACAAAAAUUAGCCGGGUGUGGUGGCGGGCGCCUGUAGUCCCAGCUACCUGGGAGGCUGAGGCAGGAGAAUUGUUUGAACCUGGCAGGCGGAGGUUGUGGUGAGCUGAGGUUGUGCCAUUGUACUCCAGCCUGGGCGACAGAGCAAGACUCUGUCUCGAAAAAAAAAAAAAAUCCCAAUAUAUGCAUAAUCUUUUUUUUUUUUUUUUUUUUGAGAUGGAGUCUUGCCCUGUCACCCAGGCUGGAGUGCAGUGGCAUAACCUUGGCUUGCUGCAACCUCUGCCUCUCAGGUUCAAGCGAUUCUCCUCCUGAGUAACUGGGACUACAGCCAUGAGCCACUGACCCUGGCCUGUAUAAUCAAUUUUUUUUUUUAGACAGAGUCUUGCUCUAUUGCCCAGGCUGGAUGGAGUGCAGUGGCACAAUCACUGCAACCUUCGCCUCCUGGGUUCAAGUAAUUAUCCUUGAGCCUCCCGAGUAGCUGGGAUUACAGGCAUGCACUACCAUGCCGGGCUAAUUUUUUGUAUUUUUAGUAGAGACAGGGUUUUACUAUGUUGGCCAGGCUGGUCUCAAACUCCUGACCUCAUGAUCCGCCCGCCUCAGCCUCCCAAAGUGCUGGGAUUAUAGGCGUGAGCCACGUCACCCGGCCCUGUAUAAUCUUUUUUACCAAACAUUUGAAAUGAAAUUGCAGACAGAAUAGUAUUUUACCCCUAAAUACUUCAUUGUAUAAUGCCAUUAUCAUUUCUAUUACUUAAUGUUUAAUACAUAUUCAGACUGUCCCCUAAUUGCCCCCAGAAUGUUUUAUAGAUUUUUUUUUCAAGCCAGGAUUUAGUCAGUCUUCACACAUUGUAUUUGACUGUCUCUUUAAAUCCAGAACAGUCUCCCUCUUUUUUUUACAAAUGAUCUUUUUUUUUUUUUUUCAGACAGGGUCUUGCUGUGUUACCCCGGAUGGAAUACAGUGGCACAAUCAUAGCUCACUGCAGCCUCAACUUUCUGGACUCAAUUGAUCCUCCCACCUCAGCCUCCACAGUAGCUGGGACUACAGGCGUGCACCACCAUGUCCAGCAAAUUCUUUAAUUUUUUGUAAAGACAGGGUCUCACUGUGUUGCCCAGGCUGGUCUGGAACUCCUGGACUCAAGUGAUCCUCCCACCUUGCCCUCCCGAAGUAUUUGGUUUACAGGCAUGAGCCACUCCUCCUGACCAGACACUGAUUUUUUGAAAAGAUCAAAUUAGGGGUCUUGCAGAUUAUCUCACAUUCUGGAUUUAUCUCAUUGCUUCAUCAUAGUGUCUAUUAAUUUGUUCCUUUAUCUUAUUUCCUGUAAACUGAAGUUAGGUCUGAAGGCUUGACUGUGAAUUAAACAUUUUUGGCAAGAAUAUUUCAUAGGUGGUGAUGUCAGAUUAGUUUUUAUUAGUAAAAUUAAGCUUAACUAGCUAAAGUGGUGAGCAGGGGUGUUUUGUUUUGUUUUGUUUUUUGUUUUUUUGAGACGGAGUCUUGCUCUGUCGCCCAGGCUGGAGUGCAGUGGCACAAUCUCGGCUCACUGUAACCUCCGCCUCCCAGGUUCACGCCAUUCUCCUGCCUCAGCCUCCCGAGUAGCUGGGACUACAGGCGCCCGCUACCACGCCUGGCUAAUUUUUUGUAUUUUUAGUAGAGACGGGGUUUCAUCGUGUGAGCCAGGAUGGCCUCGAUCUCCUGACCUCGAGAUCCGCCCGCCUCGGCCUCCCAAAGUGCUGGGAUUACAGGCGUGAGCCACACGCCCGGCGCAGGGGUGUUUUUAAAUUCAAACAAGUGUUCCAACUUCACUCUUAAAAAUAAAAAAGCAACGACAACCAAAAACAAAACCAAAAGAAGAAAACAUAUAUACCAGUCCUAGCAGGUAACAGUGUAAAAAUAACUGGAGAUCGCGCCACUGCACUCCAGCCUGGGCAACAGAGCGAGACUCCGUCUCAAAAACAAAAACAAAAACAAACCCCUCUGAUCCCCGAGUUUUCUGGGAGACUGAUUUGAGUAAUAAUACAACUCUGGUCUCCCGCACAGCCCGCUCCGCGCGUGAAUU